UACAGAGGGGGCAAGCGUUGUUCGGAAUUACUGGGCGUAAAGGGCGCGUAGGCGGCCUGUUAAGUCGAACGUGAAAUCCCCGGGCUCAACCCGGGAACUGCGCCCGAAACUGGCAGGCUCGAAUCCGGGAGAGGGAUGCGGAAUUCCAGGUGUAGCGGUGAAAUGCGUAGAUAUCUGGAGGAACAUCGGUGGCGAAGGCGGCAUCCUGGACCGGUAUUGACGCUGAGGCGCGAAAGCCAGGGGAGCAAACGGG
rnacentral:rRNA from 1 species